CGUGUGGUUCUAUUUUGUUGGUUUCUAGGACCGCCGUAAUGAUUAAUAGGGACAGUCGGGGGCAUCAGUAUUCAAUUGUCAGAGGUGAAAUUCUUGGAUCUAUUGAAGACUAACUACUGCGAAAGCAUUUGCCAAGGAUGUUUUCAUUGAUAAGGAACGAAAGUUAGGGGAUCGAAGACGAUCAGAUACCGUCGUAGUCUUAACUAUAAACUAUGCCGACUAGGGAUCGGACGAUGUUAUAUCUUGACGCGUUCGGCACCUUUCGAGAAAUCAAAGUGCUUGGGCUCCAGGGGGAGUAUGGUCGCAAGGCUGAAACUUAAAGAAAUUGACGGAAGGGCACCACCAGGGGUGGAACCUGCGGCUUAAUUUGACUCAACACGGGGAAACUCA
rnacentral:rRNA from 1 species